rnacentral:rRNA from 1 species
UACAGAGGGUGCUAGCGUUAAUCGGAUUUACUGGGCGUAAAGCGUGCGUAGGCGGUUUGAUAAGUCGAUUGUGAAAGCCCCGGGCUUAACCUGGGAAUUGCGGUCGAUACUGUCAGACUCGAAAACGGUAGAGGGAGGUGGAACUCCAGGUGUAGCGGUGAAAUGCGUAGAUAUCUGGAAGAACACCGAUGGCGAAGGCAGCCUCCUGGGCCUGUUUUGACGCUGAGGCACGAAAGCGUGGGUAGCAAACAGG